CCUCUUAGCGUCUGGUGAUAACAAUUCCCCAGUGCCUCUGCCCCUCUGUCAUCGGCUGCACUUGUGACAGGGGAUCCCUCCUUCUACUUCUAACACCUCGGCCUGACCAUCUGCACUGCAGAAAGCCAUUUGUCUGACUGCUUUUGAUUCAAACCCCAUAAGCACUACCCACAGUAGCCUAUAGAGCAACGAGUCGAUGUCUGAGCUCUCCAGCGCUUGGACCAAAAAUGUCAUAAGUAUUUCUCUGAUUCAACUUGAAAUGGAAAACAGCUUCCUUUGAUCUGAAACUCCAUUCUUCUGCAAAUACACACUUUUUAAAAGAAAAAACAGGCCUACAGAGAAGUAGCUAAUGUGUUUUUACAGCUGUACCUCUUAAAGGACCCAUUCUCAGCCCAAGUACGAUGCAGCACUCAAUGAAGUUAACACAAAGCCACCAAAUUAAAUGGCUCUUGGACAAGCUAUGAAACUCCCUGCAGAUAGCAUAUAACAGGAUAUCAGAAAUAAAAUGUAGCCAAUUGUAAAUCAUGGCAAAUCAUAAAAUCAA